ensembl:lncRNA
CGAAAUACUUUUCUCAAACUGUGUGAAGAACUCCGUGGAAUAAACAUUUUCAAAACAACAUGGUUACCUGUCUGCAUAUUUUUUUUUUCUAUCUAGAGCAUGAGAUAAAUGCAUUGUCAUUAAGCUGAGCAAUAUUAUCAGUGUUUAAAAACUAUACAGCAACAUUUUGUGAUGCUAUAAGGUCCGUUACAGCACAGGUCCGUUUGAGCUCCGUUUUACGACAGCGCCAAAAGUGCCAAAUGAACGUUGGGUCUCGCUUGACUGUCGUCUUGCAGAUACGGUCCACAUCCGUACUACGGACUUCAGCCAGAAGCGCCAAAAAAGAAUAAAAAAUACCAUCAAACCAAGCUGUCAACGGAGAUUUAUCUGACCAGCUAGGCUACCACACAUGCUGAAAACAUGAUGCAAACUGUUGAGACGAAGGAAACACCUGCAGCCACACUUCCUCCCAGAGAUAUUGGGUCUCCAACAGAUGAUGUUGCAGAACCUGAAAAUGAAAUCAUGGAAGAAAAUCUUGGAUUAGAUCCAAUGGCAGCUGUUGUGUCUGACCCAGAGGAUAGAUCUUAUUAUCAAGAUGAUAGUGAUGUAGAAGAAAUAUCUGACUGGGAGGAACCAGAAAAACUCAGAAAUCGCCUUUCCAACUGGGCAUUAACAUAUGGUAUUUCCCAUAUUGCACUUUCGGCUCUCUUGGCAAUAUUAACGGUCCACCACUGUGACUUGCCAAAAGAUGCACGAACUCUUCUUAACACAAGAAGAGAUUAUUCUGUUAGGGAGCUCUGCGGUGGACUAUACCACUACAUUGGCAUUAUUGAGGCGUUAAAACAUACCCUUUCCCAGUGGAAAGACAAGCUUGUCGAUGGAUGUUGUUUACAUCUUCAGAUGUCAGUGGAUGGCCUGCCACUUUUUUUAAAAGUUCAGGUCUUCAGUUGUGGCCCAUUUUAGGUAGAUUGGUGGGAGUACCCAUGAAAGAACCUGUAGUCAUCGGGAUGUACUCAGGUAUAAAGAAACCUGAGUCAUCAAAAAUGUAUCUCACAGAUUUGGCAAAUGAACUCUCACAAUUACAGGAGGGGUUUACAUUUGAGGGGAAAAGGCUCACUUUAAAAGCUCAUUCGAUGAUCUGUGACGCACCGGCAAAAUCCUUUGUGAAAGUCACAAAGGCUUUUAACGGUUACUAUGGCUGUGACAAGUGUAUUCAGAGUGGGGUGUACCUCAAUCACCGCAUGUCAUACCCCCUCAUGAAUAGCCAAACACGGUCUGAUGAGGCAUUUGCCAGGCAGGAGGAUGAGGAACACCACCAUGGUCCUCAUGCCUUCACAAAUGUAGAUUUUGGUUUGGUGUCCCAAGUCCCACUGGACUACAUGCACCUGGUGUGCUUGGGGGUGGUAAGGCGCCUUAUCUUUCUGUGGAUGAAAGGUCCUCUGACUGUCCGUUUACCAGGGAGAGACGUGGACAGAAUAUCCAGAAAUCUUCUAAGCUUAAGACCCCACAUUCCUUCGGAAUUUGCUACAAGGCCAAGAGCACUGAACAAAGUGGAUAGGUGGAAGGCGACGGAGUUCCGUCAGUUUCUCUUAUACACAGGGCCGGUGGUGUUGCGUGAGGUGUUAAGUCCUGAUCUAUAUGCAAACGUCCUGCUGCUGUCGACAGCCAUGGCAAUGCUGGUCUCCCCUUUCUUUGCCAGAAAGUACAACGAAUAUGCCAACAGCCUCCUUCAUGCUUUUGUGGAACAUUUUGCCCGCCUGUAUGGAAAUGAUCAGCUAGUGUACAAUGUGCAUGGGUUGACCCAUCUUGCACAGGAUGCAAAACAUUUUGGCAAUCUGGAUGUUAUAUCAUCCUUUCCAUACGAAAAUUAUUUGCAAAAACUCAAGGGUUUUGUACGCAAACCCUCAAAUCCCCUGGCCCAAAUAAUUAGACGCCUGUCUGAGGGAUUAAAUGGUGGUGUUACAAGUGACCAGCCCAUCAAAUUGUGCAAAGAACAUGCCCGAGGCCCUAUACCAGUACCAAACUUGAUCUGUCACCAGUAUGACGAACUGAUAUCAGAGAGGUUCACCAUGACCACAACAUGUCGAAACAACACAUUUCUUAUGGGCAAAAAUGUGUGUCAGAUAAUUAAUAUAAUUGACUGUCACGGUGAUAUCAUAAUUGCCUACAGACAGUACGGGAUGGUUGAAACAUUUUUUACCUAUCCUUUUAAUUCUGACAUUUUAAACAUUGUGAUACCAGCUGACCUAGGCCAUGAGAUAAAAUUCUCCAAACUGUCAUCUUUCACACAAAAAUGCAUGGCUGUCCCUUUCAAUGAGGCAAUGGUGGUUAUACCGUUGUUUCAUAUGAAGGACUAGACUUUAGUUUUGAAAAUCAUAGUUCAGUUCAGUUCAGUUAUGUAUUUUUUUUAAUCAUCUUAUUUUUUACACAAUUAUUUUUAAAAGACAUUUUGUGGAGUAAUUUUCCUCGACGAGGACGUUACAGAAGUUGUGCCGAGGUCAUGGGUUAAAGGUGAUGAAUGUUUUUGGCCAACAUUCAUUUCCAAGGAAAAAACCCAAAAGGCCAUAAAGAGGCAUGAAAUGCCAGGCCUUGGCUGGAAAAUCUCAAAACAAGAACACUCUUUGAAAAAGUAGAUGACUUCAGUAAGACAAGGCAAAAGCUGAAGGACUACAACAGAAAUGGAACGGCAGUCCUCCAGUCAGAGGAUGAGGGCUCCAUGGCAAAAAGGAGAAGAAAAGCGACACAUUACCCAGGAUUUGAAAACGGCAGUACUGACUCUGAAACUGAGCAGACUCCAAAAAGAAGACCAGAGUCUCGGCCUCGGCCUCGGCCUCAACCUCUCCCUAUUAGCGCUACCCUUCCUAGUCUCCCUCCAGCCCCCCUCUCGGACAUCGCAGUGGACAUGGGUCAGGAGUCUCUGGACAACACAGGACAGGGAACCUAUACAGACAUAAGCUGGAAUGUGAGGAGGGAGUCAGACCCCUUCAAUGCCAGCGGUGGUGGCGAGCCUGGAGGUCACCUCCUCUUCAAGCCAACCUUCAGAGUUGGCCAUGAAACAGGGCCAAUUCCUUGCACACCGGCUCAGCUACAUGGCCUAUUGCUUUUGGAAAACCUAAAGCAGCAGGUUGCCCAACUCACCACCACCGUGAACCUGCUCAUGGCCAAGGUCAAUAACGGCCUCCAACCAGCAGCCUUUGAGUGGUCCGGGGAAUUUCAAUUCCCCCUGGAAUCAGAUCCAGAGCUGGACCGCUUUGAGGCCUGGCUGGCGGACCCUGCCAACGAUAGGCAGAAACAUGCCCUUGGGAAUACCCUGUCUGCGGUCGGGGGUGUGGAUUUGAAGAGGGUGACAUGGAACAUUUUGUCAUACCUGUUUUCCUGCCCCCUUUCCUGAACAAUUAAUUGGAAGGGUGUGAACAAGAAGAGGGCCUUCCACAGGAUGGCAUCACGGACCCUCCUCAGCCGUGCAGUGGGCAAAUGCGCACUGACAGCAACUGCAACAGAAGCUGAAAUAUGGAGGCAUGCUAUAAGGUGGUUUGCCCUUUCGGCGGACAGGAGAGGAGGGCGCCAGGAGAUACUGGCGCGUCAGCAGCAGGAGCAGCAACAGCAACAGCUGCCACAGCACCCAGCUAGUGAUUUUGUUUAAGUGCAUGUUUUUUUAUUCACGUUGUGUUUAUAGCCUGUGCGUUUUUUUAUCCAUUAAUUCUGUGUUUGUUGUUGAGUGUGUUUUGUGUUAAUUGUUGACUUUGUUCAUGACUUUGUUGUUCAUUUUUUAUAAUUAAAUCUAUGUAUUCGUGGUCAUUAAUUCUGUGUUUGUUAACUUUGUUCACGUUGUUUUAGUAUGCGUUUUAAUCAUUAAAACGAUUUAUUUCAGCUAUAGCCUAUAGGCCUACGCAUUGCUCCAACUGAAACUAGCCUUUAUCAAGUCAAGUCAAGCUUUUUAUUUAUAGCCAAGGCCUUGUAGUGAAAAUGUUUUUCUGGACAUUUUCACAGUCUGUGAAAAUGUAGGCCUAUGCCGGUAGCAUAGGUUACUAUGAUACCCUAACUGACAAAAAUGCCGAAAAUAAGGCAAAAGGACAAUCCAGUGGUGAUUUAAGCGGAUUCGUAACACAUCCGGCACAGCUCCGGUAGGCGGAAUCGUUUCACGCACCCGUUACGCAUGUGUAACAGGAUGAUCAGGCGGUGCUGGAUCGGCGCUGGCACAUAUCCGCAACAACCCCUAAAAACAGACCAGAAACGGCUUCGGCCCGAUGUGCGUUUGGACUCAGGAACGAGUCCGUGAGGCGGAUGCGGGCCAGACCCGGCUCUAUCGUUUUGCGGUUGCGGCCCUGUUCCGUUACAGCGUCCAGUGGCUAUCUGGG